AGGUGCAUAGCUCAGUGGUAGAGCACAUGACUUGCAAGCAUGAGGUCCUGGGUUCAAUUCCCAAUACCUCCA
rnacentral:tRNA from 1 species